UACGUAGGGCGCAAGCGUUGUCCGGAAUUAUUGGGCGUAAAGAGCUCGUAGGCGGCUUGUCACGUCGGAUGUGAAAGCCCGAGGCUUAACCUCGGGUCUGCAUUCGAUACGGGCUAGCUAGAGUGUGGUAGGGGAGAUCGGAAUUCCUGGUGUAGCGGUGAAAUGCGCAGAUAUCAGGAGGAACACCGGUGGCGAAGGCGGGUCUCUGGGCCGAUAUCGACGCUGAGGAGCGAAAGCGUGGGGAGCGAACAGG
rnacentral:rRNA from 1 species